UACGAAGGGAGCUAGCGUUGUUCGGAAUCACUGGGCGUAAAGCGCACGUAGGCGGACGUGUCAGUCAGGGGUGAAAUCCCGGAGCUCAACUUCGGAACUGCCUUUGAUACAGCACGUCUUGAGUCCGGAAGAGGUGGGUGGAAUUCCUAGUGUAGAGGUGAAAUUCGUAGAUAUUCGCAAGAACACCGGUGGCGAAGGCGGCCUGCUGGGCAGUGGCUGACACUGAGGCGCGACAGCGUGGGGAGCAAACAGG
rnacentral:rRNA from 1 species